AUAGGAGAUAGAAAUUUUACUUCGGCAUUACAGGGACAGUACCACAAGGGAAUGAUGAAAGACAAAUUUAUAGUACAAAACAGCAAAGAUUAACCCUUGUACCUUUUGCAUAAUGAAUUAACUAGAAUAAUCUGACAGAGAGAACUGUAGCCAGAAAGACUGAAACCAGAUGAGCUACCUAUGACAAGUCUGUGGGUCUAACUCAUAUAUGUGGCAAAAUGGUGAGAAGAUUUAUAGGUAGAUGUGAAAAGCUAGCCGAGCCUGGCGAUAGCUGGUUGUCUAGGAUAGCAUUUUAGUUCUAACUAAAAUUCACUAAAAGAAAUAAAGUAAUCCUAACAUGAAUUUUAGAGCUAUUCAAAAGAGGUACAGCUCUUUUGAUUCAGGAUACAACCUUAACCAGAAAGUAAAAAUCCAAACGAUAAUUUCAUAGUUGGCCUAAAGGCAGCCAUCAAUUAAGAAAGCAUUAAAGCUCAACAACUGCUUACAUUAAAAAUACCAAAAAUUAACUGACCACCUCCUAGAUAUAACACUGGACUAAUCGAUAUAAAUAGAAAAAAUAAUGUUAAUAUAAGUAACAAGAAUUAUUUCUCCCUGUAUAAGCUUAUAUCAGAUCGGAUGCCCACUGAUAGUUAACAAUCCAUUAAUUAGAUCCAUAAACAAAUUCUUUAUUACAGUCAUUGUUAACCCAACACAGGUGUGCUUCAAGGGAAUGAUUAAAAGAAGUAAAAGAAACUCCCCAAAUACCAAACCCCACCUGUUUACCAAAAAUAUCACCUCUAGCAUUCUUAGGAUUUGAGGCACUGCACGCCCAGUGACAAAUGUUAAACAGCUGCGGUACUCUGACCAUGCAAAGGUAGCAUAAUCAUUUGUUCCUUAAAUGGGGACUUGUAUGAAUGGCCACACGAAGGUUUAAGUGUCUCUUACUUCUAAUCAGUGAAAUUGACCUUCUUGUGAAGAGGCGAGAAUAUAUAGAGAGGACGAGAAGAACCUAUGGAGCUUAAAUAAAUUAAUUCAGCUAUAAUUUCACUAGCCUACAAGGCAUAAUGAGGCAUGGCAACAAAUUAAAAAUUUUGGUUGGGGUGACCUCAGAAGAUAAACUGACCUCCGAAUGAUGUUAUAAUCUAGACAUAACCAGUCAAAAUUUAUAAAGCCCAUAAUAACCCAAUACUUGAUCAAUGGAACAAGUUACCCUAGGGAUAACAGUACAAUCCUAUUUUAGAGUCUCUAAUUUUCUUUUUUUUUUAAUCAGUAGUAGGGUUUGCGGCCUUUUGAUGUUGGAUCAGGACAUCCUAGUGAUGCAGCCACUAUUAAAGGCUCAUUUGUUCGAGGACUAAAGUCCUACGUGAUGAUCUGAGUUCAGAUGGAGUAAUCCAGGUCAGUUCCUACCUAUAGACAAUUUCUCCCAGUAAGAAAGGAUAAGAGAAAUGGGGCCAACUCUACGAAAGUGCCCUCAAUUAAAUUUAUGAAUUAAUCUCAGUUUAGAUAAGUAAAUUUACCCUGCCCAAGACUAGGCCUGGUUAGGAUGGCAGAGCCUGGUUAUGGCGUAAAACUUAAACAUUUUUAAACAGAGGUUCAACUCUUCUUC
rnacentral:rRNA from 1 species